UACGUAGGGAGCAAGCGUUGUUCGGAUUUACUGGGCGUAAAGGGCGCGUAGGCGGCGCGGUAAGUCACUUGUGAAAUCUCUGAGCUUAACUCAGAACGGCCAAGUGAUACUGCAGUGCUAGAGUGCAGAAGGGGCAAUCGGAAUUCUUGGUGUAGCGGUGAAAUGCGUAGACAUCAAGAGGAACACCUGAGGUGAAGACGGGUUGCUAGGCUGACACUGACGCUGAGGCGCGAAAGCCAGGGGAGCAAACGGG
rnacentral:rRNA from 1 species